rnacentral:rRNA from 1 species
GACGAACGCUGGCGGCGUGCUUAACACAUGCAAGUCGAACGGAAAGGCCCUGCUUUUGUGGGGUGCUCGAGUGGCGAACGGGUGAGUAACACGUGAGUAACCUGCCCUUGACUUUGGGAUAACUUCAGGAAACUGGGGCUAAUACCGGAUAGGAGCUCCUGCUGCAUGGUGGGGGUUGGAAAGUUUCGGCGGUUGGGGAUGGACUCGCGGCUUAUCAGCUUGUUGGUGGGGUAGUGGCUUACCAAGGCUUUGACGGGUAGCCGGCCUGAGAGGGUGACCGGCCACAUUGGGACUGAGAUACGGCCCAGACUCCUACGGGAGGCAGCAGUGGGGAAUAUUGCACAAUGGGCGGAAGCCUGAUGCAGCAACGCCGCGUGCGGGAUGACGGCCUUCGGGUUGUAAACCGCUUUUGUUCGGGAAGAAAUCCUCUGGGCUAAUACCCCGGGGGGAUGACGGUACCGGAAGAAUAAGCACCGGCUAACUACGUG